UGGGGAAUAUUGCACAAUGGGGGAAACCCUGAUGCAGCCAUGCCGCGUGUAUGAAGAAGGCCUUCGGGUUGUAAAGUACUUUCAGCGGGGAGGAAGGGUGUGGGUUUAAUAUACCGGCACAUUGACGUUACCCGCAGAAGAAGCACCGGCUAACUCCGUGCCAGCAGCCGCGGUAAUACGGAGGGUGCAAGCGUUAAUCGGAAUUACUGGGCGUAAAGCGCACGCAGGCGGUCUGUUAAGUCAGAUGUGAAAUCCCCGGGCUCAACCCGGGAACAGCAUUUGAAACUGGCAGGCUGGAGUCUCGUAGAGGGGGGUAGAAUUCCAGGUGUAGCGGUGAAAUGCGUAGAGAUCUGGAGGAAUACCGGUGGCGAAGGCGGCCCCCUGGACGAAGACUGACGCU
rnacentral:rRNA from 1 species